GGCCUCUGAUGCUGCUGCUCCGGGCGCCACCUCCCACCCGUGAAUACCUAACACUGUUGCUUCGGCGGGGAACCCCCUCGGGGGCGAGCCGCCGGGGACUACUGAACUUCAUGCCUGAGAGUGAUGCAGUCUGAGUCUGAAUAUAAAAUCAGUCAAAACUUUCAACAAUGGAUCUCUUGGUUCCGGCAUCGAUGAAGAACGCAGCGAACUGCGAUAAGUAAUGUGAAUUGCAGAAUUCAGUGGAUCAUCGAGUCUUUGAACGCACAUUGCGCCCCCUGGCAUUCCGGGGGGCAUGCCUGUCCGAGCGUCAUUGCUGCCCAUCAAGCCCGGCUUGUGUGUUGGGUCGUCGUCCCCCCCGGGGGACGGGCCCGAAAGGCAGCGGCGGCACCGUGUCCGGUCCUCGAGCGUAUGGGGCUUUGUCACCCGCUCGACUAGGGCCGGCCGGGCGCCAGCCGACGUCUCCAACCAUUUUUCUUCAGGUUGACCUCGGAUCAGGUAGGGAUACCCGCUGAACUUAAGCAUAUCAAUAAGCGGAGGA
rnacentral:misc_RNA from 1 species